AUACAAUAAAUAUAUAUUCUAAAAUUGGGACAAUUCAGAGACGAUAAACCCCACCCCUGCUCAGAGAUGGUGUGAAGAUUGAUGAAGCAUUCCAUGUUUUG
rnacentral:snRNA from 1 species